GCCAUGCUGUCACAUGAUCAUGUAACUGUAAUAAGAACUACGGGUGAUAGAAUAUGCAUGAAAACAAUUGGUAACAAAUUGGUAACUGAGCAACAUCUAUGCUGUCAUGUAACAAUAAUGACGAGGUUCAGUCAGAGUCAAGAUGUCAUUGUGUUGUACUGUCAAAGAAAAAGGAUGUUCGCAUGGCAUUGCUACUGUGAAAAAAACUGCAUGCCAGCAACUCAAUAGUACUAAGAUAUACCUCUUCGCCA